rnacentral:misc_RNA from 1 species
UCCGAUUUAAAUAUCGGCAGUCUCGUCAGAGUGCCCAGCCGAACUGGUGGCAACUGACAACAGAGGUUGCGCUCGUUGCGGGACUUAACCCAACAUCUCACGACACGAGCUGACGACAGCCAUGCAGCACCUUCUCACUCGUUCUCCGAAGAGCACCCCUACAUCUCUGUAAGGUUCGAGUGGAUUUAACCCAGGUAAGGUUCUGCGCGUUGCGUCGAAUUGAACCACAUGCUCCACCGCUUGUGCGGGCCCCCGUCAAUUCCUUUGAGUUUCAGCCUUGCGGCCGUACUCCCCAGGCGGGGCACUUAACGCGUUAGCUGCGGCACCGAAGGGGCCGCUCCCCCCGGCACCUAGUGCCCAUCGUUUACAGCGUGGACUAC